GGUAUAUCUUUCCAUCUAUUUGUGUCGUCUUUGAUUUCUUUCAUCAGUGUCUUAUAGUUUUCAGAGUACAGGUCUUUUGUCUCUUUAGGUAGGUUUACUCCUAGGUAUUUUAUUCUUUUGGAUGCGAUGGUAAACAGGAUUGGUUCCCUUGUUUCUCUUUCUGCUCUUUGUUAGUAUAUAGAAAUGCAGUCAAUUUCUGUGUGUUAAUUUUGUAUCCUGCAACUUUGCCAAAUUCAUGGAUGAGCUCUAACAGUUUUCUGGUAGAGUCUUUAGGAUUCUCUAGGUAAAGGAUCAUGUCAUCUGCAAAUAGUGAGAAUUUUCUUCCUUUCCAACUUGGAUUCUUUUUAUUUCUUCUACUUCUCUGAUUGCUGUGGCUAGGACUUCCAAAACUAUGUUGAAUAGCAGUGGCGAGGGUGGACAUCCUUGUCUUGUUCCUGAUCUCAGCAGGGAUGCUUUCAGCUUUUCACCAUUGGGAAUGAUGUUAGCUGCGGGUUUGUCAUAUACGGCCUUUAUUAUGUUGAGGUAGAUUCACUCUGUGCCCACUUUCUGAAGGGUUUUUUUUUUUUAUCAGAAAUGGGUGUUGGAUUUUGUCAAAGGCUUUUUUGUGUCUGUUGAGAGGAUCAUAUGGUUUUUAUUCUUCACAGUGUGUUAAUGUGGUGUAUCACACUGAUGGAUUUGCGGAUAUUGAAGAACCCUUGCACAAAUGAUAAAUUCCACCUGAUCAUGAUGUACAAUCCUUUUAAUGUAUUGUUGGAUGUGGUUCAUUAGUAUUUUGUUAAGGAUUUUUGUAUGUAUGUUCAUCAGUGAAAUUGGCCUAUAAUUUUCUUUUUGUUGUUGUUGUUGUGGUAUCUUUGUCUGGUUUUGGUGUCAGGGUGAUGGUGGCCUCAUAGAAUGAGUUUGGGUGUGUCCCUUUCUCUGCAUUUUUUUGGAAUAGUUUCAGAAGGAUAGGUGUUAGCUCUUCUCUAAAUGUUUGAUGGAAUUCGCCUGUGAAGCCAUCUGGUCCUGGACUUUUGUUUGUUGGAGGUUUUUUU
rnacentral:lncRNA from 1 species